rnacentral:rRNA from 1 species
GACGAACGCUGGCGGCGUGCCUAAUACAUGCAAGUAGAACGCUGAAGGAGGAGCUUGCUUCUCUGGAUGAGUUGCGAACGGGUGAGUAACGCGUAGGUAACCUGCCUGGUAGCGGGGGAUAACUAUUGGAAACGAUAGCUAAUACCGCAUAAGAGUAGAUGUUGCAUGACAUUUGCUUAAAGGGUGCAAUUGCAUCACUACCAGAUGGACCUGCGUUGUAUUAGCUAGUUGGUGGGGUAACGGCUCACCAAGGCGACGAUACAUAGCCGACCUGAGAGGGUGAUCGGCCACACUGGGACUGAGACACGGCCCAGACUCCUACGGGAGGCAGCAGUAGGGAAUCUUCGGCAAUGGACGGAAGUCUGACCGAGCAACGCCGCGUGAGUGAAGAAGGUUUUCGGAUCGUAAAGCUCUGUUGUAAGAGAAGAACGAGUGUGAGAGUGGAAAGUUCACACUGUGACGGUAUCUUACCAGAAAGGGACGGCUAACUACGUG